rnacentral:rRNA from 1 species
CACGCCGUAAACUAUGGAUGCUAGCUGUUAUGAGUAUCGACCCUCGUAGUAGCGAAGCUAACGCGUUAAGCAUCCCGCCUGUGGAGUACGAGCGCAAGCUUAAAACAUAAAGGAAUUGACGGGGACCCGCACAAGCGGUGGAGCGUGUUGUUUAAUUCGAUGAUAAGCGAAGAACCUUACCAAGGCUUGACAUCCCUGGAAUCUUUUCGAAAGAAGAGAGUGCCUUCGGGAAUCAGGUGACAGGUGAUGCAUGGCCGUCGUCAGCUCGUGUCGUGAGAUGUUUGGUUAAGUCCAUCAACGAGCGCAACCCUUAUAUUCAGUUGAAUUUUUCUGAAUAGACUGCCUCGGUAACGGGGAGGAAGGAGGGGAUGAUGUCAGGUCAGUAUUUCCCUUACGCCUUGGGCUACAAACACGCUACAAUGGCCGGUACAAAGGGCUGCCAACCCGCGAGGGGGAGCAAAUCCCAUCAAAGCCGGUCCCAGUUCGGAUAGCAGGCUGAAACUCGCCUGCUGAAUCGGAAUCGCGAGUAACUGUGAUCAGCGAUAGACCGUAAAUACGGCCCGAUUCGAGUCCCCACGCCUGCGCCAUCGUGGCGCUU